rnacentral:rRNA from 1 species
AUUGAACGCUGGCGGCAUGCCUUACACAUGCAAGUCGAACGGCAGCACGGGGGCAACCCUGGUGGCGAGUGGCGAACGGGUGAGUAAUGCAUCGGAACGUGCCCAGUAGUGGGGGAUAACCCGGCGAAAGCCGGGCUAAUACCGCAUACGACCCAAGGGUGAAAGCGGGGGACCGUAAGGCCUCGCGCUAUUGGAGCGGCCGAUGUCUGAUUAGCUAGUUGGCGGGGUAAGAGCCCACCAAGGCGACGAUCAGUAGCUGGUCUGAGAGGACGACCAGCCACACUGGGACUGAGACACGGCCCAGACUCCUACGGGAGGCAGCAGUGGGGAAGUUUGGACAAUGGGCGCAAGCCUGAUCCAGCCAUGCCGCGUGCGGGAAGAAGGCCUUCGGGUUGCAAACCGCUUUUGGCAGGAACGAAACGGCGCAAGCCAAUACCUUGCGCUAAUGACGGUACCUGCAGAAUAAGCACCGGCUAACUACGUGCCAGCAGCCGCGGUAAAAC